GUGGGUGUAGCUCAGGGGUAGAGCGCCUGACUGUGGCUCAGGAAGUCGCGGGUUCGAAACCCGUCACCCACCCCA
rnacentral:tRNA from 1 species